rnacentral:rRNA from 1 species
UGGGGAAUAUUGCACAAUGGGCGGAAGCCUGAUGCAGCGACGCCGCGUGAGUGACGAAGGCCUUCGGGUCGUAAAACUCUGUCCUAAGGGACGAUAAUGACGGUACCUUAGGAGGAAGCCCCGGCUAACUACGUGCCAGCAGCCGCGGUAAUACGUAGGGGGCGAGCGUUGUCCGGAAUUAUUGGGCGUAAAGGGUGCGUAGGCGGCCUUUUAAGUCAGGUGUGAAAUCCAUGGGCUCAACCUGUGUAAGCACUUGAAACUGGAAGGCUUGAGUUAAGGAGAGGAAAGUGGAAUUCCUAGUGUAGCGGUGAAAUGCGUAGAUAUUAGGAGGAAUACCAGUGGCGAAGGCGACUUUCUGGCCUUUAACUGACGCUGAGGCACGAAAGCGUGGGGAGCAAACAGG